ACACGUAUGGACCUGCCCCAAACUCAGUGCAUACAUCUAGAAAUAAGUGCUACUAGCGGAUAGUCCCGCAAGGGUAAAGAUCAUCGGUUUGGGAUGGGCCUGCGUACUAUCAGCUAGUAGGUAAGGUACUGGCUUACCAAUGCUAUGACGGUUAACUGGUCUGAGAGGAUGAUCAGUCGCGAUGGGACUAGAGACACGGCCCAUACUCCUACGGGAGGCAGCAGUAAGGAAUCUUCCACAAUGGACGAAAGUCUAGAUGGAGCAACACCGCGUGAUCGAUGCCGCCUUUAGGGUUAUAAAGAUCUUAUCUGAGAGAAGAACUCUGACGGUAUCUUAGGAAUAAGCACCGGCUAACUCCGUGCCAGCAGCCGCGGUAAUACGGAGGGUGCAAGCGUAACCCGGAAUCAUUGGGCGUAAAGCGUCCGCAGGCGGUUUGUAAAGUAAGAUGUUAAAUUAUCCAGCUCAACUGGAACUCUAUGUCUUAAACUAGGCAACUAGAGUAUUACAGAGGUGUGCCGAAUUCUGUGUGUAGGGGUAAA
rnacentral:rRNA from 1 species